rnacentral:rRNA from 1 species
AUUGAACGCUGGCGGCAGGCUUAACACAUGCAAGUCGAGCGAGCGGCGGACGGGUGAGUAAUGUCUGGGAAACUGCCUGAUGGAGGGGGAUAACUACUGGAAACGGUAGCUAAUACCGCAUAACAUCAGAUGUGCCCAGAUGGGCUUAGCUAGUCGGUGGGGUAAUGGCUCACCUAGGCGACGAUCCCUAGCUGGUCUGAGAGGAUGAAGGGCCACACUGGAACGGAGACAGGGUCCAGACUCUUACGGGAGGCAGCAGUGGGGAAUAUUGAACAAUGGGCACAAGCCUGAUGCAGCCAGGCGGCGUGUGGGAAGAAGGCCUGCGGGUUGUAAAGCACUUUCAGCGAGGAGGCGUUACUAGCAGAAGAAGAACCGGCUAACUCCGUGCCAGCAGCCGCGUAAUAC